GUGGGGAAUUUUGGACAAUGGGCGCAAGCCUGAUCCAGCAAUGCCGCGUGCAGGAAGAAGGCCUUCGGGUUGUAAACUGCUUUUGUACGGAACGAAACGGUCCUGGUUAAUACCUGGGGCUAAUGACGGUACCGUAAGAAUAAGCACCGGCUAACUACGUGCCAGCAGCCGCGGUAAUACGUAGGGUGCGAGCGUUAAUCGGAAUUACUGGGCGUAAAGCGUGCGCAGGCGGUGCUGUAAGACAGGCGUGAAAUCCCCGGGCUCAACCUGGGAAUUGCGCUUGUGACUGCAGUGCUGGAGUACGGCAGAGGGGGAUGGAAUUCCGAGUGUAGCAGUGAAAUGCGUAGAUAUGCGGAGGAACACCGAUGGCGAAGGCAGUCCCCUGGGCCUGUACUGACGCUCAUGCACGAAAGCGUGGGGAGCAAACAGGAUUAGAAACCCUGGUAGUCC
rnacentral:rRNA from 1 species